AUUGAACGCUGGCGGCAUGCCUUACACAUGCAAGUCGAACGGUAACAGGUCUUCGGAUGCUGACGAGUGGCGAACGGGUGAGUAAUACAUCGGAACGUGCCCGAUCGUGGGGGACAACGAGGCGAAAGCUUUGCUAAUACCGCAUACGAUCUACGGAUGAAAGCGGGGGAUCUUCGGACCUCGCGCGGACGGAGCGGCCGAUGGCAGAUUAGGUAGUUGGUGGGAUAAAAGCUUACCAAGCCGACGAUCUGUAGCUGGUCUGAGAGGAUGAUCAGCCACACUGGGACUGAGACACGGCCCAGACUCCUACGGGAGGCAGCAGUGGGGAAUUUUGGACAAUGGGCGAAAGCCUGAUCCAGCCAUGCCGCGUGCAGGAUGAAGGCCUUCGGGUUGUAAACUGCUUUUGUACGGAACGAAAAGCCUCUUUCUAAUAAAGAGGGGUCAUGACGGUACCGGAAGAAUAAGCACCGGCUAACUACGUG
rnacentral:rRNA from 1 species